rnacentral:rRNA from 1 species
UACGUAGGGUGCAAGCGUUAAUCGGAAUUACUGGGCGUAAAGCGUGCGCAGGCGGUGAUGUAAGACAGUUGUGAAAUCCCCGGGCUCAACCUGGGAACUGCAUCUGUGACUGCAUCGCUGGAGUGCGGCAGAGGGGGAUGGAAUUCCGCGUGUAGCAGUGAAAUGCGUAGAGAUCGGCAGGAACACCCAGGGGGAAACCAGCGGACUGGGCAUCGGCUGACGCUCAGGUGCGACAGCGUGGGGAGCGAACCGG